UACAGAGGUCUCAAGCGUUGUUCGGAUUCAUUGGGCGUAAAGGGUGCGUAGGCGGCGCGGUAAGUCGGGUGUGAAAUCUCGGGGCUUAACUCCGAAACUGCAUUCGAUACUGCCGUGCUUGAGGACUGGAGAGGGUAACGGAAUUCACGGUGUAGCAGUGAAAUGCGUAGAUAUCGUGAGGAACACCAGAGGCGAAGGCGGUUACCUGGACAGUUACUGACGCUCAGGCACGAAAGCAUGGGGAGCAAAAGGG
rnacentral:rRNA from 1 species